rnacentral:rRNA from 1 species
GCCCCCCUCUAGCCACAAUAUUGUAUAUGUAAACUCACCACCUUCUGAUAUAAACUAAAACAUUCUUAAGUUCUAGUAAAGGAGAUUGAAAUUUCUUUAUAGCGCUAUAUCUUAGUACCGUAAGGGAAAGAUGAAAUAAUAAUGAAAUACACCCCAAGCACAAGAAAGUAAAGACUGACCCUUGUACCUUUUGUAUUAUGGUUUAACUAGUCUAAUCAAGCACAAGGACUUUAAGUUUGACCUCCCGAAACUAAGCGAGCUACUCCAAGGCAACCUAAAGAGCCAACCCGUCUCUGUGGCAAAAGAGUGGGAAGACCUUCGAGUAGAGGUGAUAGACCUAACGAGCUUAGUGAUAGCUGGUUGUUUGAGAAAAGGAUUUAAGUCCAACCUAAAAUUACUACCGUCCAUCUAAACGGGCCCCCCAGGAUUUUAGAGUAAUUCAAGCAAGGUGCAGCCUACUUGAAACAGGACACAACCUUAACCUGCGGGUAACAUAACGGGCCCUUCCCGUAACCAAGUAGGCCUAAGAGCAGCCACCUUCUAAAAAGCGUCAUAGCUUCACUGCACAAACCUGAAUUCCUAGCAUUACAACGAACCCCACCCGCCCUAUCAAACAAUUCUAUAAAACUAUAGAAGCUUUUAUGUUAAAACUAGUAACAAGAAUAAAAAAUUCUCCUAAUGCAAACGUAAAUCAGACAGGAUACCCCACUGAUAAUUAACACAUGUGAACCUACAGCAGCAACUUGACAAGAAAACCCUCCUACAUUUUAUGUUAACCUUACACAAGAGCAUUUUUAGAAAGAUUAAAAGAAGAAGAAGGAACUCGGCAAAACUUGGCCUCGCCUGUUUACCAAAAACAUCGCCUCUUGCAACCAAUAAGAGGUCCAGCCUGCCCAGUGACUCUGUUCAACGGCCGCGGUAUUCUAACCGUGCAAAGGUAGCGCAAUCAUUUGUCCUUUAAAUAAGGACUAGUAUGAACGGCACCACGAAAGCUAUACUGUCUCCUUCCCCUAAUCAGUGAAACUAAUCUUCCCGUGAAGAAGCGGGGAUAAUUUUAUAAGACGAGAAGACCCUAUGGAGCUUUAAACACACAACAAUUGUCACGGACCUACCCCCUUCCCCGGAAGAAACCGCCCACCCGAACAUUUUGAUUGCAAGUUUUAGGUUGGGGUGACCACGGAACAAAAAAUAACCUCCAUGGUGAAUAGGAUUCUUUCCCUUAAACCCAGGGCCACGACCCUAAGGAUCAAUAAAUUGACACCCAUUGACCCAAUACUUUUGACCAACGAACCAAGUUACCCUAGGGAUAACAGCGCAAUCCACUUCUAGAGCUCCUAUCGACAAGUGGGUUUACGACCUCGAUGUUGGAUCAGGACACCCCAGUAGUGCAGCCGCUGCUAAAGGUUCGUUUGUUCAACGACUAAAGUCCU